rnacentral:rRNA from 1 species
CCUACGGGCGGCAGCAGUGAGGAAUAUUGGUCAAUGGGCGCAAGCCUGAACCAGCCAAGUAGCGUGAAGGAUGACUGCUCUAUGGGUUGUAAAUUUCUUUUAUAAAGGAAUAAAGUGAGGCACGUGAGCCUUUGUGUAUGUACUUUAUGAAUAAGGAUCGGCUAACUCCGUGCCAGCUGCCGCGGUAAUACGGAGGAUCCGUGCGUUAUCCGGAUUUAUUGGGUUUAAAGGGGGCGUAGAUGGGUUUUUAAGUCAGUUGUGAAAGUUUGCGGCUCAACCGUAAAAUUGCAUUUGAUACUGGCAGCCUUGAGUACAGUUGAGGUAGGCGGAAUUCGUGGUGUAGCGGUGAAAUGCGUAGAUAUCACGAAGAACUCCGAUUGCGAAGGCAGCCUACUAAACUGCCACUGACGUUGAUGCUCGAAAGUGUGGGUAUCAAACAGGAUUAGAUACCCUUGUAGUC